AUUGAACGCUGGCGGAAUGCUUUACACAUGCAAGUCGAACGGCAGCACGGACUUCGGUCUGGUGGCGAGUGGCGAACGGGUGAGUAAUGUAUCGGAACGUGCCCAGUCGUGGGGGACAACGUAGUGAAAAUUACGCUAAUACCGCAUACGAUCUAUGGAUGAAAGCGGGGGAGCGCAAGACCUCGCGCGAUUGGAGCGGCCGAUAUCAGAUUAGGUAGUUGGUGGGGUAAAGGCACACCAAGCCAACGAUCUGUAGCUGGUCUGAGAGGACGACCAGCCACACUGGAACUGAGACACGGUCCAGACUCCUACGGGAGGCAGCAGUGGGGAAUUUUGGACAAUGGGCGAAAGCCUGAUCCAGCCAUUCCGCGUGCAGGAUGAAGGCCCUCGGGUUGUAAACUGCUUUUGUACAGAACGAAAAGGUUUCUACUAAUACUAGGAGCUCAUGACGGUACUGUAAGAAUAAGCACCGGCUAACUACGUGCCAGCAGCCGCCGUAA
rnacentral:rRNA from 1 species